GAUGAACGCUGGCGGCGUGCCUAAUACAUGCAAGUCGAGCGAACAGACGAGGAGCUUGCUCCUCUGACGUUAGCGGCGGACGGGUGAGUAACACGUGGAUAACCUACCUAUAAGACUGGGAUAACUUCGGGAAACCGGAGCUAAUACCGGAUAAUAUAUUGAACCGCAUGGUUCAAUAGUGAAAGACGGUUUUGCUGUCACUUAUAGAUGGAUCCGCGCCGCAUUAGCUAGUUGGUAAGGUAACGGCUUACCAAGGCAACGAUGCGUAGCCGACCUGAGAGGGUGAUCGGCCACACUGGAACUGAGACACGGUCCAGACUCCUACGGGAGGCAGCAGUAGGGAAUCUACCGCAAUAGGCGAAAGCCUGACGGAGCAACGCCGCGUGAGUGAUGAAGGUCUUCGGAUCGUAAAACUCUGUUAUUAGGGAAGAACAAAUGUGUAAGUAACUAUGCACGUCUUGACGGUACCUAAUCAGAAAGCCACGGCUAACUACGUG
rnacentral:rRNA from 1 species